rnacentral:pre_miRNA from 1 species
CAACUACUCCCUCUGUCCCAAAUUUCUUGUCUUAGAUUUGUCUAGAUAUGGAUGUAUUUAAUACUAAAAUGUGACUUGAUACAUCCGUAUCUAGACAAAUCUAAGACAAGAAUUUUGGGACGGAGGGAGUACUUU